CCUACGGGUGGCAGCAGUGAGGAAUAUUGGUCAAUGGGCGUAAGCCUGAACCAGCCAAGCCGCGUGAGGGAUGAAGGUUCUAUGGAUCGUAAACCUCUUUUAUAAGGGAAUAAAGUGUGGGACGUGUCCUAUUCUGUAUGUACCUUAUGAUUAAGGCACGGCUAACUCCGUGCCAGCAGCCGGGGGAAUACGGAGGAUCCGAGCGUUAGCCGGAUUUAGUGGGUUUAAAGGGUGCGUAGGCGGCCUUGUAAGUCAGCGGUGAAAGUCCGUGGCUCAACCAUAGAAUUGCAGUUGAAACUGGGGGGCUUGAGUAUGUGAGAGGCAGGCGGAAUGCGUGGUGUAGCGGUGAAAUGCUUAGAUAUCACGCAGAACACCGAUUGCGAAGGCAGCCUGCCAAGCCAUGAUUGACGCUGAUGCACGAAAGCGUGGGUAUCAAACAGGAUUAGAUACCCCAGUAGUC
rnacentral:rRNA from 1 species